GGUUGAUCCUGCCAGUAAUCAUAUGCUUGUCUCAAAGAUUAAGCCAUGCAUGUCUAAGUAUAAAUGUUUUUUAAUUAUAAUAGUAAGACUGCGGAUGGCUCAUUAUAUCAGUUAUAGUUUAUUUGAUAGUCUUUGGAUAAAUAUACCUUUUAUGUAAAUAAAAGGCGAUAUUUACCCACUUAUUUGGAUAACUGUAGUAAUUCUAGAGCUAAUACAUGCGUAAAGUCCUAACUAGCCAAUGGGAAGGAUGUAUUUAUUAGAUUUAAAAGCCAAUAACUUAAGUAAUUAAGUUU
rnacentral:rRNA from 1 species